CGGGGGGAGCAAGCGUUGUUCGGAUUUACUGGGCGUAAAGGGCGCGUAGGCGGCCAGCACAAGUCAGUUGUGAAAUCUCCGGGCUUAACUCGGAACGGUCAACUGAUACUGUGCGGCUAGAGUGCAGAAGGGGCAACUGGAAUUCUCGGUGUAGCGGUGAGAUGCGUAGAUAUCGAGAGGAACACCUGCGGCGAAGGCGGGUUGCUGGGCUGACACUGACGCUGAUGCGCGAAAGCCAGGGGAGCGAACGGGAUUAGAUACCCCGGUAGUCCUGGCCUUAAACGAUGGAUGCUUGGUGUCUGGAGUUUUAUAGUCUCCGGGUGCCGUAGCUAACGCGUUAAGCAUCCCGCCUGGGGAGUACGGUCGCAAGACUG
rnacentral:rRNA from 1 species